GGCUGAACCAGCAACUUGGGGGAAUGCUUCUUAUUAGAUUAAAAAUUUAUAUUUUUAAUAUAGUUAAGAAUUCAUGAAAUUUGAAUAUAAUUCUAGAUAAAAAAUUGAUAAUGACAAAGUUUUAUUUAUUUGUCUUGACCAAAUCUUGUGCCAGCAGUCGCGGCAACACAAGGAAGACAAGUGUUAUUCAUCUUAAAUCGGUUUAAGGGGUACCUAGACGGUAAAUUAGGCCAUAGUAGGAACGUUUUUACUAGAGUUAUACAUGCAUGGGGAUUGUGUCAGUAUUACCAGAGUAGAGAUGAAAUUUUUUGAUACUGGUUAAGACUGGUAAAGGCGAAAGCAAACCUUUAUAUAUUAACUGACGUUGAGGGACGAAGGCUUGGGGAGCAAACAGGAUUAGAUACCCUAAUAGUCCAGGCAGAG
rnacentral:rRNA from 1 species